CCCGGGAGCCAUGCCCUCGCGCCCAGCACCUUCGUCGCGGGGCAAGGCGCAGGCCCGGAGCCCAGCAAUCCGGGCGUCCCCUCGGAAGGCUGUCCCCAAAGGGACCAGCAAAAGGGCACCUUGUACAGUCUCUUGUGGGAAGGACUACCACCCCAGCUAUCACAGAGGGCAAGCCCACAGACACCACCUUGUCUGAAAGCAGAAGUGGACGCCUCAGGUAUCACGGCACCAGCGUCUCGAGCCCUAUUAAGACAGUCCUCCUUCAGGCUGACGUGGAGGCAAUCUGCAGGGAGGGCUCGGAAGACGCAAUGUGAGGCUCAUUGUACGAUUUGCUUAGAUCCUGGAGUUGGAGAGCUGGAAAGGAAGGGUCUCAUGGCCCCGUGAUGAUACAAGGAGGUCCAAGCACUCAUUGAAAGGAGGGUUCCCGGAUCAUCCACGUCUCCUCUACUGCGCAAGAGGGUCUGUGUCCCACCGAGAUGCCACGCUGCACUUUGGUGUUCGCCGAGUUCUGGAGUCCCGCCGAAGUCGCAGUUCGGAGGUUCUGUUUUUGCUCUCCCCCAGGGCUGCUGUGCCGUCAUUGGGGAGAUUCAUUGGGGAGAUUCAACAAACAGUGGCAGACAGCUGGUGGGCCUCCUCUGUGCUACAACCCCCAGAGGCCAGACACGCAGGGACCCUGAAGCUUUGCAUUCUCCCUCCCUCCACUCCUCCACGACUUCCUCCUAAGCCUGAGUCUCUUGUCUAGCAUCUGUUCUCCCCAUCCUAUCUUCUGCAGCUUCUUAAAGCUCAGGGGUGGCAAGGAGGAUGGCGGGGGUGGGGAGGGGGGAGCAUGCCGCACAUUGCCCUCAGGGAGGCCUCCUUGCAAAUGCCCCAGGCUCUGGGACCUCAGACAUGUGCACUCAAUCUGUAUCUUCUCCCCGAGCCAGUCUGUGUUUCAGAAUGAGCUCCCCAGCUUUGCUUACUUUCCCUCCAGCUGCCCUGGUUCUUAGCUCUCAGGAUAGGGCCUGCUGUGUGUGGUGAGGGUUCCUUCCACUCAUGGCCAAGGCCCGAGGAAGACCCCUUCUCUUUGGGACAAGUCCCUGCUGGGAUACCUAAUAGUCAACGGGCCUGGUGGAGGAAGCGGGGAGAGCUGAAUCUUGUCCCCACAGGCGGGCUCAAGCUCUCGGGAAGUUAGGGUACUUGGGGGUGAGAGCUCCAGCUGCUCAGGCUGCUCUGGAGUCUAAUGCAGUGUCAACUUGGGCAUUUGAUUCCAGAACAGGGAGGAAGAGUAAUAGGUCACUGAGACUUCUAUCUGGGUACUGCCGCUGCUCCUGAACCGGGGAGGCGGGGAGAGGGGGACCUUGGACUUAGCUGGUGCUCUGGUUGGGAAUGAGGGCCUGGGCCCCCUGCCUGCGGGACACCGAGGGAGGCAGAGACAGCCGGUGGGCAGCUGACGGGGCAGGGAGUGGCUGUUCUUCUUAAUGGCUCUCAUGACCCAACAGUUUCCACUGGGUAGUGUGGUGCUGGGGCCCAGGGGAGCCUGGCAGUGGGGAGGAUCCAGCACAGCCCACAGAGCCAAUUCUGGGGGGUCUGGGAGUAAGGGCAAGGCAGAUACAGCAGCUUAUUUGUUCUAGAUCGGGGUGGCCUCUGGGUCUAGUUUGGCCAGAGGCCUGGGACCACCUUGCCUCUUGGGUGGGGAUGGCAAGGUGUCUCCGACUUGAACAGGGGAGACUGACGGAAGAAGGGAGGGUUGGCUCCCCAGCUUUCCUCACAGCAUCCACGCGCUGCUGUUAGGACUUAGGGAACCUGUUGCUUUACCUUGGCUCCUUUCAGGAUGUGGAGAUAGUGAGGGCAGAAAAGGGCGGUCCUCCAGGCCUCGGACACCCCAGCCUUCCUCCCUCUGGGCACGGACAGCUGCUGGGGAGCUCAUCCCCGGUUCCCUUUCCCGGGGGGGGGGGGAAGGGGGUGGAGCACCCAAGUUUCCCCCACCUACUCCCAACUGACUUUUCCCCGCCCGACUCCAGAAUCAGCUCCCCUCUUUCCCUCUCUGCCUCUGGUUAGGCCCCAAACCUGUGUGUUCUUCCUCUCGUCUCUUCCUUUCCUCCAGCUGUUCCCGUGCAACUGUUGCCGCUCGUGACAUCUGCGAGGUGAUCUUCCCCGACAUGAACAGGAUCACCUCAUCCCUAUUCCCUCCGUGAGGGAGCUGGAACUUCAGAGAGGUUUUAACCUAUGGGCAACUCCACAGAAGCAUGUUGCUGAGAAACAUUUCUGGAGACCGAGCCCAGGCUCAAGGGAACAAACCACUGAUGGGCAGAGUCUGAGGUAGCUGUCACAAGUGAUGGCACUGUUGGCCCCCAGGAUGAAGUCUUUUUUAUCUCAGCAUGGGACAGCCCCCUUGCGCUAGCCAGCCAUAGCAGAGGACAUCUGUGGUUCUUGAAUGGUGACACCUCUAGAACCCUCUCCUCAGUCAGCAGGCUGAGGCCUACAACAAAACAGAGAUGUCACCUCUCUUGACCCCUUGCUUACUGUCUGUCCUGUGCUCCUGGGUCAUUCUCUAUCAACCACUCUCCUAGCAUGCCCCUUGCUACAUUGUGGUUGUCUGUCUACUAGUCCAGUCCACCAGUCAGGGAGCCCCUGGAGGGCAGGGAUGCACGGGGUUCCCUAGGCACCCCGUCUGUGCUUCCAUGACACGUUACAUAUAGUUCCAUAAGGGGACUUGCCAGACUCUGCCUUAUUGUUCUUUCUGUACAAACCAUCUCUCUGCCUUGAAGAGCAAGGACCAUAGACUGUCUUUGUAUUCUCUCUGCAUUAACACAUUAAGGUUGCUCAACAAAUUAAAGAAAGCCUGGUCCAUCCGAUUGUUCUUUAAACCUUCCUACCUUAUUAGCCCCCUUCCGUGAGUCCCAAGGAGGAUUCCUAGAUGAACCCAAGGCUCUCUGCUAUAUUCCUUAAAUCCCAUCCUGUCUGACCAUGGGAUGCUCAACGACUUCCGGAAUGUGGCGUCAGUUGUUUGGCUGAACCUGUCUAGAAGUUGCGUGAGGGUGUGCUUUAGUUGUGAUUAACGUUUAAAUCAGCAGAUUUUGAAUAAAGCAAAAUACCCUCCUUUAUGUGGGUGGGCCUCGUCUAAUCAGUUGAAGGCCUUAACCAGUUGAAGUCCGUGAGGGAGAAGGAAUUCUGCAUCCGGAAUGCCUUCAGAUCCAAGACUGCAACAUCAAUUCUUCUCUGGAUCUCUAGCUGUUGGCCUGAUUUCAAACCUGCCAGUCCCCAUAGUCAAGAGUCACAUCCUUAAAAUAUCCAUCCAGCCAACCAUCCAUCCAUCUAUCCAUCCAUCUCAUUGGUUGGGUUUCUCUGGAGAACCAUAGUACACCAUUUCCCCCUCCUGCCACCUUCCUUAUGCACCCCUCCUAUGUUCCCGAGUGUCUCUUGAACUCUAAUGCUUUACUUUUAACUUUGUUUUGGUUGUAUUUCGCAAGCAUGCUCUCCAGCCUGUAAAGAUCAGAAGACAGGACCUGGUGGGGACAAAAAUUGACAAUGUGUGAAACAAAAACCCAAAUGAUACACUAUUCAAAAGAAUUCAGGUCUCCUGUGUCAUGGGCCUUACAAAGGCAAAACAUUGUUAGUAACUGUCAAGAGCACACAAAGGCGUACCCCAUGGUUGCCAUUCUUUCAGUAUGGUAAAGUUGAAGCUGCAAUCCACAGCCUAGUGGGUUUUUUGUCCAUGCCUGGCCAGGUGAUGGAUUCUUCACAGGAUGGCUUUUUGAUGGGGUUGAGAUUCCCCACAAGCCAUGUCACCUUUCUUUCAACAAAGAAAUCCAACAGUCACAACAAUACCUUGCCACUUCAGAAAGAUAUUUGGACUUGUGCUGUUAUCUCUGUCCGCAAAUGAAUUACCGGGAGGGCACAAGGACAAUUUAAUUAGCAGCUAAUCCAGGUUACCGGGAUAUGUGCCAAACUUAAAGCCAAUUUUUAGAGGUCAGUUACUUGAUUUUCUCCAGCCCAAUAGUCUCAGACGGGAGAACAAUGGAAAACUCUGGAUAACAAUCAGAAUUUUUAUUUUUUUGAUUUUAUUUUUAAGUAGUCUCUACACCCAAUGUGGGGUUUGCACUCAACCCGGAGGUAAGAGUCACAUGCUCUCCUUACUGAGCAGCUAGGUGCCCCAACAAUUUGAAUUUUUAAAUCUUGACAGGUUGGAGCCAUGAGCACAUCCUCUGGUAAAACUUAAUAGGGCAACUUUACAGGUCCUGCACUUGAGUUCAAAAAAGCAGUUUCCUGUGGAUGGGAUGAAGGAGGUGGCCGGGCUUCACUCAGCCCAUGAGAUGGGAGUCCCAGGAUCCUCAGAUGGGACCCGCAGGAGUCAGGCAGUGUCAUUUGUGUCCCAGUCUGCACUUCAGCUAGUGCCCGAAUGGGAUGCUACAUGCCCUUGCUGGCCCCAGGCUUUUGUGACAUUCAGUGGAGUGCAGCUGGCAGGGCAGAAGAACAUGGAACCAUGUGGGCAGGACAGCACACAGGCCAAGAAGCCACAGUCUGUGGUCAGACAUCCCAGGUCCAACGUCUUUUCCUCUCCAUGAGCUCCAUGGACAGCUUACUGACUGCUCUAGCCUUUGGUUCCUAAUCCACAAAGGGAGGAGAGUAAUGCCCACCUUGCACGCUCUCUGAGGAUAAGGGCAGUGAAUAUAUGUAAAGCAAAUUUUGGGGCACUGCUUAGCACUGACUGUCAAUGUUAAUCAACAACACUAACUGAUGGUAAUGGAAGGGACCUCCCAGGACGAGAGAGUAACUGCUCUCGCCCGCCCUUGGAGAAGACACGCGGAGGCUGCCUGGCUCCCCAUGACGAGGGGCUUGCUACUGAGCAGAUGGCCUACAGAGAAAGGCGUGGGCCUCCCAGUAAGUGGCAGGGGGCUGCAGGGGAGCCCAGUGCCUGACACCAAUGCACCAGGCGACCUCUAGGGUCCCAGCUACACUUGAGCUUCCAUGACCCCGAGGACUUGAUAUCUUGGGUUCCCGUGGCCUAAAGAAAGGCAUUCACCGCCACCCACAUGCUAAAAAGCCAAGCAGCCACUGAAGAUUCCCAUCUCUAGGUCACCUACGUGCCCCCAAUUCACAUUUAUUCUCUAAUUGACAAGGGGGAAAGCACAAACCCAGCAGAGCUCUUCGGCUGCCUUCAAGGCUACGUGGUUGGUGACGCACUGGGAUCAAGACCCUCUUUUGUACAGAUGAAUAGGCUGAAAGGCAAAAGCAGCUACAGACGAAGACUGAGAAAAGAUGAGUGGUUUGCUCCCCCUCCCUUGUCCAGGCUAGGCCAGGCUGCCCGCCGUGUGUCAGAGAGGGAAGAGGGCUGUGUUCAGACCAGCUCCUCUUCUGACCCCGUGACCGUGACCGGCUGUGACUGGUGCAUGUAGGAGGGUAGCACCACCUCCUCGCAGUGUCUGCCCCCUGCCCUCACCCCCGACCAGAGCUGGGCAGUCGAGCUACACACACAGAAGACAGCGGGCACCAGGAAAGCUCUGUGAAUAAAACUUUAAUAAUGUACAGCAGAAAUUGGACAGGCUCAUUCUUAUAUUAAAACAAAAGAUUUCCUAUAUUACAACUUAUUUACAUUUGCAUACUGAAGAGGUAAAGUGUCUAAGUGGCUAUUUUACAGUCCUUUCUAAUAAAAUGUACAAAAACAAACAGAAGUACCGAGAAUGCCGUUCGGGGGCCUUGAUGGCGACGUGAGAACGGGCUUGGACUUGGUCUGUGAAUCCAGAAUCCAGAGGUGCAGGUAGCCCUAUGGAUCAGGGUUAGCCCCAGGGGCCAAAAACCACGACUUUAGGCCUCAGUGUCUCCCCAGCUCUCCAACUCCUAACUCCUGGUGUUAAGAGCAGUGGGGAAGAGGGAACUUCCCCAAAGACUGCUGAGUCUUCCCCAAGGUGCAGUGAGGCCAGAAGGGCCUCCCGGGGAACAGGCCAGUGGCUUGGGAGGCCCUAGGUUGAGGAGCGUUGGCAGAUCCCAGAGGCUGGUUGUGACCGGGGCACGGGAGUCUAAGUUCCAUCACCGCCUCUACCCUGCCAGGUUCUGCUGUAGGGCAGACAGGCAGGGGAUGGGGGGGGGGGCAUGGGGAUCAACAGGAGUGGGGAAAGAAG